rnacentral:lncRNA from 1 species
UUUUUUUUUUUUUCGUUGCUUCUUCUAAGCCAAGAGCUUUGUAUGCAUUAUCCUCUAUAACCUGCACAAUAACCUAUAGGUAAGGUCCUGUUAUUAUUUCCAAUGUACAGGCUCAGCGAAGUUAAGGGACUUGCACCAGCUCAGGGCUCAGUGGCAGGGGUAGGAUUUGAACCUAAGUCUUUAUGCUUUGAAAGCACAUGCUCUUCCCUCUUUUGCUUUCCUGCUUCCCACACACGAGUAAUCACACUGUCAAGCCUCAUCAAUGUCACUUUGAUCUACUAACGGGCCGUGAAGAGGGAAGUGCCAUCUCUCUGUAAAAUCAACAAGUCCUGGCAUGAAGACAGAGGUGCUAAUAGAGACACAAGUUCCCCGUUUGCCGAGGUCACUGACAGACUUGCACGGGGCUCAAAUGGCAUUCAGCCUCCUGGGAAAGGGAGGAGUUUGGGGGACCGCUGCCCACUGCCCAGGCCCUGGGUCCUAAGGGCUCCAGAGCCCCCCAGCAGGAGGCGGGCAGCAGGCAUGCUCUGUGUUUUGACAGCCAGGGAGAUAAACAGAGGUAUCGGUUUCAGUUAAACAUCCCUGGUGCUUAGACCUUCUCUCCAAACACAAUGUCCUCACAUUGCUUGGCUAUCAGAGUCAAGAGUGACAGCUUCACAACUGAUAUGGACGGCCAGCUGCCUGCAAACUCUGGGCGAGCCGCAGAAACCUCUAAGGCCUCUGUACAAUAGGCUUCAGGAAAUGGGGACAAGUCAUGCUGGGAGGAGGGGAGGUCUGUGAUCAUCCAAUGGGAAGGAGGCAGGUCAGGCCUGGGAAGAAGGGCAAUGGAAGUUCCAUCCCAUAUUCCCAUCCCCACACCACCUCGUCUCAUCCUCAGAGAUCUAGACCUGGGCUGUCUGGCAUGCAACCCAUCAGCCCCCUGGGGCUAUUGAGCACUUGAAAUAUAGCCAGUCCAAGUUGAGGUGUGCUGCAAGUGUUUUAAAAUCUGUGUGUAAAACACAGAUUUCAAAAACUUUGUACGGAAGAAAGAAUGUCAAAUAUCUCAUUGAGUUUUCAUAUUGAUUACAUGGUGAGAUGAUAAUAUUUGGGGUAUAGUAGGUUAAAUAAAAUAUUUUAUUGAAAUUAAUUUCACCUGUUUACUUUUACUCUCUAAUGUGGCUACCAGAAAAUUUUCAAUUGUAUACAUGGCUUGCAUUAUAUUUCUGUUGGACAGUGCUGCUCUGGAGGACCAAAAAUGAAAUGCAAUCGAACUCAAAGCGAACAAAUGUAAAUAUUUUUAUCAAAAUGCAAAUUAAAUGAAAACAAUAGAAAAACAAAAUUACUUCCAUGUAUAUUUUCAAGAUAGUUCUUUUUCUAAAACAUCCAAAGUUGCUAUUAAAAAUAAAAGGAUGAAUACAUAAUUAUUGAAUCUCAAAGUUUUAUUUUAUUUUUUUAAAUUAUUUUAUUUUAUUUUAUUUUAUUUUAUUUUAUUUUAUUUUAUUUAUGAUAGUCACACACAGAGAGAGAGAGAGAGAGAGGCAGAGACACAGGCAGAGGGAGAAGCAGGCUCCAUGCACCGGGAGCCCGACAUGGGAUUCGAUCCCGGGUCUCCAAGAUCGCGCCCUGGGCCAAAGGCAGGCGCCAAACCACUGCGCCACCCAGGGAUCCCGAAUCUCAAAAGUUUUAAAUAAAAAUUAUCUAAAUGUACCUGAAAGCCUUAGCUGAUUUCUUCGAAAGUUCUCCUAAACUAUUGUUAUAAAAAUAAAAUUAUUUAAAAAAUAAAAUAAAAUCAUUGAGAAUUCUAGUAGCCAAUGUAAAGAAUCGACAUUAUGCUUCACACUUAUUACAUCUGGAUGUACCUACCUAUACCUAAAAGAAUACUAUGAAUUGUUUAAGAUACCAACAUAUUAUUCAGUUAUUGUGUAACAGUUGUGACUAUCACACUGAUUCUGGAUCCCUUCAAAAACCCCGAAGCAGAGCAUAGAGAUAACAUAGGCACUCACCACUACUAGAUUUUUGUAUUGGGUGGACGACUCGGUAAGCCAAAUAAGCCAUCUUUUCUCUCACCUAAGCACUUCCACAGCUCAGAUCCUCCCCAUACCCCAAGGUUAGCAGCAACACAAUCCACUAACCUGCAUGGAAUUCAGACUCAGUUACCUUUUGUUUUGAGAACAUAGAGCAAGAAUGGUGUCAAUCACAAAAGCGGCUAGAG